rnacentral:rRNA from 1 species
CAUGUGGUUUAAUUCGAUGCAACGCGAAGAACCUUACCUGGUCUUGACAUCCACAGAACUUUCCAGAGAUGGAUUGGUGCCUUCGGGAACUGUGAGACAGGUGCUGCAUGGCUGUCGUCAGCUCGUGUUGUGAAAUGUUGGGUUAAGUCCCGCAACGAGCGCAACCCUUAUCCUUUGUUGCCAGCGAUUAGGUCGGGAACUCAAAGGAGACUGCCAGUGAUAAACUGGAGGAAGGUGGGGAUGACGUCAAGUCAUCAUGGCCCUUACGACCAGGGCUACACACGUGCUACAAUGGCGCAUACAAAGAGAAGCGACCUCGCGAGAGCAAGCGGACCUCAUAAAGUGCGUCGUAGUCCGGAUUGGAGUCUGCAACUCGACUCCAUGAAGUCGGAAUCGCUAGUAAUCGUGGAUCAGAAUGCCACGGUGAAUACGUUCCCGGGCCUUGUACACACCGCCCGUCACACCAUGGGAGUGGGUUGCAAAAGAAGUAGGUAGCUUAACCUUCGGGAGGGCGCUUACCACUUUGUGAUUCAUGACUGGGGUGAAGUCGUAACAAGGUAACCGUAGGGGAACCUGCGGUUGGA